GCGAGGAAUAUUGCGCAAUGGGGGCAACCCUGACGCAGUAACGCCGCGUGCGGGACGAAGGCCUUCGGGUCGUAAACCGCUUUUUGAGGAGACGAGCGAGGACGGUAUCCUUAGAAUAAGUCUCGGCUAACUACGUGCCAGCAGCCGCGGUAAAACGUAGGAGGCGAGCGUUAUCCGGAUUCACUGGGCGUAAAGCGCAUGUAGGUGGUUGGUCAAGUAGCUGGUGAAAGCCCCUGGCUCAACUGGGGGAGGCUCAGCUAGACUGAUGGACUGGAGGCUUCGAGAGGCAGGUGGAAUUCCCGGUGUAGCGGUGGAAUGCGUAGAGAUCGGGAGGAACACCCGUGGCGAAAGCGACCUGCUGGCGGAGACCUGACACUGAGAUGCGAAAGCGUGGGGAGCAAACGGGAUUAGAUACCCGUGUAGUCC
rnacentral:rRNA from 1 species